rnacentral:rRNA from 1 species
CCUACGGGUGGCAGCAGUGGGGAAUAUUGGGCAAUGGGCGCAAGCCUGACCCAGCAACGCCGCGUGAAGGAAGACGGCCCUCGGGUUGUAAACUUCUUUUAUUCAGGACGAAACAAAUGACGGUAGCGACUGAAUAAGCCACGGCUAACUACGUGCCAGCAGCCGCGGUAAUACGUAGGUGGCAAGCGUUAUCCGGAUUUACUGGGUGUAAAGGGCGUGUAGGCGGGAAAGUAAGUCAGACGUGAAAUUCCAGGGCUCAACCCUGGAACUGCGUUUGAAACUGGUCUUCUUGAGUGAUGGGGAGGCAGGCGGAAUUCGUGGUGUAGCGGUGAAAUGCGUAGAUAUACGGAGGAACACCAGUUGCGAAGGCGGCCUGCUGGACAUUAACUGACGCUGAGGCGCGAAAGCGUGGGGAGCAAACAGGAUUAGAUACCCUUGUAGUC